UACGGGGUUGUCCAUGCCUGAGCGCAAGGUGGGCUCGCUCAACCGCGACCGCGCACUAGCCGGCGGUGCCCCCCAUCCGCGGCGCCGGCGAACUGGACCUGCAAGCGCUGCCGCCAUUGCUCGCCGCCAAUCCUCCCCUCUCUAGUAUAGCAUCUCUCUACCGCAUCCCAUCUGCAGUGGCGCCGUUCCUAAUCAACGGCCUCCGGAAGGGGAAAGGGGCCAUGGGGCCGCCUCACCGCCGUUGUCUUCGGUCUCAUCCCCCCACCCCACCCCACCCUCGUCGACAAAGCAGGGCCAGACAAGUCUGCAGCCUGAAGGGCAAGGAUGGGGAUAAAUCAUACGAGUGGUUCAGUAAAAAAGGAUCACACGAAUGGCAAUUCAAAGCACAUCCAUUGGAUCUAAUGGAGAAAAUGAUGCAUGAAUAUAGAGGAUGGUUGUCUUCUUUGAUGUGCUAGUAAUUCAACAGAUGAAGGAAUGACUGAUGCAGUUCUCACCGAGUUUGUUCCAUUGCAUCAAUGUGGCCAGCACUAUUUAUAUGUUAUCUGAAAAGAAAAAACUUGUCAUGCUAGUCUAGCCCAAUUUCUACUGUAGCAAGAUGCUGCUUCUGAAUACCUAAUCCAGGGAAUUUCAGCUUACCGUAGUGUUAUUUGAAAUCAAGUUUCUUUCUUUAUAUGCUUAUGCUUGGAAGCUCUUCUCUUCGACAAUGUGUGGUUCAGGCCCAUGGAUCACCAAAACUUAUAUGUUUGCCAGUUCCUGUA